rnacentral:lncRNA from 1 species
UCUUUCACAAGCGUAUGCCACCUGAAGCUGUGGAUCUCGUGUCAAGACUACUACAAUACUCUCCAAAUCUUCGAUGCACAGCUGUGAGUAUUUAUUUUUUUCAAGAUGUGUGAGAGCUUUAAAGACAUUUCACAUCCUAUUGAAUACCUUAUACUUUCAUGAUCAUUUAUGGCUGCUGUUAAUGGCAUAAUCUUUCAAUGAUAUGUGAUGAACUCCCUAGUCUGUCUUAUUAAAAAUUACGUGUGAUUUUGAAUUUUUAUCCAUACUUCUUUUUGUCCUUAGUUUUUUAAAAAAAUCCUUCUAGUUUUUUUCUGGACAUGCCUACUAAUGCCAUUGUAUAGCCUUGAAAGUUCCUUCACUUUCCUUACUGAAUUUUCACCAAUACUAUUUCUAUAAUUGUCUCCAAAUGAACAUUAUAUUAAACUACAUUGUUUUGUGCCUUGUGCAAUGUAGCUGGAGGCCCUGGUCCAUCCAUUCUUUGAUGAACUUCGUGAUCCAAAUACCCACUUACCAAAUGGACGCUUCCUCCCUCCACUUUUUAACUUCAAAGCCAACGGUAAUAACUUAUUUUCAUUUUAGUAUCAUGUUAUUAUAUCCUUGUAUCGAAUUUCUCGUUUAAUGCUGGUGUUGUUGGUGAUCUGAUACAGAGCUUAGGGGAGUACCUGCUGAAAUGCUGGUGAAGCUGAUUCCAUCUCAUGCAAGAAAGCAAUGUGCGUUGUUUGGUUCGUAGUGGAGUAGUCUUGUGUAAAUAUUAUCUACCCCUUGCCUGUAGAAGUAUAUCUAGUCUGUCAAGAUGUUCAUAGUUUUUCCUGUUAACUUGUUUGUUCCCUUCCUUCCAUCACACUUCCAAUUAGUUAUUUUCCUUGUCUUAGAAAGCUCUUUGAGAAGAAGCUUAAGGCUGAUUUCUCUUCAGGGUUUAAUUGGUUUGUUUAUUUGAAACAUUGUAUAUUCAAGUGAUGUCAUACUUGAUCACCAUCACUAUGUGAUCCAGGAGGAGAUGUUUUAAAGCGUUCUUUGGGACAGCCAAAGCAGGUUUGAUUUCGAUAUCUUAUCUAUUACGUGAAUAAUCAAUAUGUGUGUUCAUAUUUACAUGGCUAUAAUGUUGCGACGUUUUUGUGAUUGUAGACUAUAAGCUACAUGGCUGAGCGUAUUGUUGGACAUGGAUCAUUUGGUGUAGUUUUCCAGGUCAGUCCCUUGUAUGUUCUUUACUUUGCAGCUUUUGAUUAGACAGUAGUCUAGAUUUUUCAGUAAACUGAUAUUUAUUUAUUUUUACCUUUAUUGUGUAGGCAAAGUGCUUGGAAACUGGUGAAACUGUGGCUAUAAAGAAGGUUCUUCAAGACAAGAGGUACAAGAACCGGGAAUUGCAAACCAUGCGCCUCAUGGAUCAUCCCAAUGUUGUAACUUUGAAGCAUUGUUUCUUUUCAACAACUGAAAAAGAUGAGCUUUAUCUUAACUUGGUACUUGAGUAUGUUCCUGAGACUGUUCAUCGAGUGAUCAGACACUACAACAAAAUGAAUCAAAGAAUGCCCUUAAUAUAUGUAAAGCUUUAUUCUUACCAGGUAUAUUUCUAUGUGCUUUAUCAAUUUUGAUCUUUCUUUUCCUGUUUAAAGAGAUACUAUGAAAGCCUCUACGUGAACCCACUUUGUUGGUUUUCAUUCCUUCUGCUUCUUAUUUGUAGAUAUGUAGAGCUCUAGCUUAUAUUCACAACUGUAUUGGAGUCACUCACAGGGAUAUAAAACCUCAAAAUUUACUGGUAUGUUCACAUGGAAACAUCAAAAUUUUGUAAGACUAAUUUACUAUCUCAUCUGAUGGAGUAGUUCAUGCAUAUCUCUUUUGGAUGUUUUCUGAUAACAGGUCAAUCCUCACACCCACCAGCUGAAGAUUUGUGACUUUGGGAGUGCCAAAGUAUUGGUAUGUUUAUUCUCAACCUGGAAAUGGAAAUCAUUCUGUUUUCUCUGUCUAUCUGAUGUAUUAAUUGUUUUUUACAUAUUUGACAGGUCAAGGGCGAACCGAACAUAUCUUACAUCUGUUCUAGGUACUAUAGAGCACCUGAGCUUAUAUUUGGAGCAACUGAGUACACCACAGCCAUUGACAUCUGGUCAGCUGGUUGUGUACUUGGAGAACUUUUGCUUGGACAGGUAUCUAGCUGUUAAUUAUAUUAGGUUAUUUGUAUAUUUAGAAUUCAUAUUGGCACAGAAACUGAAAUUGAACUCUUAUUCUUGUCAGCCUCUCUUUCCCGGCGAGAGUGGAGUAGAUCAGCUUGUUGAAAUUAUCAAGGUAACAUCAGUUCUAAAUACUAUGUAAAAUCAUGUUAUCUGCCAUUUUCUGUCUUUACAUGAUGGAUGGUUCUUACUUUGAAUAAUCAUCACCUGAAUGUAUAGUGAUUGUCUUUACUUGUAACUAACUUGUAGAUAUCCAUAAUAAUAGUCACCUUGUUUUAUUAUUUCCUUUAUCCUUGUUCAGUGCCAUGAUAUUUUUCAUUAGUUCUGAAGAUUUAUGGGAUUCAAGUGCAGGUUUUAGGUACCCCAACUAGGGAAGAAAUAAAGUGUAUGAAUCCGAAUUACACUGAGUUCAAAUUCCCACAAAUCAAAGCUCACCCAUGGCACAAGGUGAUCGAACGUUAUUUUUUCUUGUCUGUUUAUGCUCAUUAUUUCAUAGUGAUAUUCAUAUAUAUAUAUGAACCUUCAUCAUCAGAUCUUUCACAAGCGUAUGCCACCUGAAGCUGUGGAUCUCGUGUCAAGACUACUACAAUACUCUCCAAAUCUUCGAUGCACAGCUGUGAGUAUUUAUUUUUUUCAAGAUGUGUGAGAGCUUUAAAGACAUUUCACAUCCUAUUGAAUACCUUAUACUUUCAUGAUCAUUUAUGGCUGCUGUUAAUGGCAUAAUCUUUCAAUGAUAUGUGAUGAACUCCCUAGUCUGUCUUAUUAAAAAUUACGUGUGAUUUUGAAUUUUUAUCCAUACUUCUUUUUGUCCUUAGUUUUUUAAAAAAAUCCUUCUAGUUUUUUUCUGGACAUGCCUACUAAUGCCAUUGUAUAGCCUUGAAAGUUCCUUCACUUUCCUUACUGAAUUUUCACCAAUACUAUUUCUAUAAUUGUCUCCAAAUGAACAUUAUAUUAAACUACAUUGUUUUGUGCCUUGUGCAAUGUAGCUGGAGGCCCUGGUCCAUCCAUUCUUUGAUGAACUUCGUGAUCCAAAUACCCACUUACCAAAUGGACGCUUCCUCCCUCCACUUUUUAACUUCAAAGCCAACGGUAAUAACUUAUUUUCAUUUUAGUAUCAUGUUAUUAUAUCCUUGUAUCGAAUUUCUCGUUUAAUGCUGGUGUUGUUGGUGAUCUGAUACAGAGCUUAGGGGAGUACCUGCUGAAAUGCUGGUGAAGCUGAUUCCAUCUCAUGCAAGAAAGCAAUGUGCGUUGUUUGGUUCGUAGUGGAGUAGUCUUGUGUAAAUAUUAUCUACCCCUUGCCUGUAGAAGUAUAUCUAGUCUGUCAAGAUGUUCAUAGUUUUUCCUGUUAACUUGUUUGUUCCCUUCCUUCCAUCACACUUCCAAUUAGUUAUUUUCCUUGUCUUAGAAAGCUCUUUGAGAAGAAGCUUAAGGCUGAUUUCUCUUCAGGGUUUAAUUGGUUUGUUUAUUUGAAACAUUGUAUAUUCAAGUGAUGUCAUACUUGAUCACCAUCACUAUGUGAUCCAGGAGGAGAUGUUUUAAAGCGUUCUUUGUAUGACCUUAAUGAUGAGAAAUUUUGCUUCGGAACAUUAUUUAUUGUCUUGUAUCAUUUUCUGGUAUUGUCUUAC